AAUUUAUACUCGUUCAUAAACAUUUGACUGCAGAUCAUAAUAUGAUGAUGACUUCGGUUAACCUUCAACGGAAAUAUCGUGCUAACGGCGAUGAUUCGUUAGUUUUUUGUAUAGUAUACUAUAAUACGUAACUACGUAUAUUAUACACAUACAGAGUGAUCAUUAUCAGCAGUCCUUGAUAGGUAUGUCGCUUUUCAUGGUUUAAAUAAAAUAAUUUCGGAAUGCUUUUUUCAACGUUUUGGACUUAAAUUAUGGUAGAUUAGAAUAGUGAAGUUAGGUAUUUUAAAGGAAAAACAAUUCCAGAUAUGUUUUAAUUUUAGUUUUUUUAAAGUAUAGGUGAAUAUAAUGACAACAACUCGACAAUUAUUCUGGUAAAAUAAAAACCACCGGGAAAUUAUGAAUAAAUAGGUAAUAGCGAAUACUAGAAAUAAUGGUUUACCCGUACUGCAGUUCAGUAGGAAUACUGAGAAGAAAAAAAAACGGGACAGUUAUUGUAGUAUUGAAACGAAAAUCCCACGAGGAAAACGACUCCGAGUAGAAGACCCUGGAAAAUAUAUAUUGAUGAUUUAGAGAAGAAGUAUUACAAAGUUUAAGAGAUGAAAAUUUCACAAAAAAAGGUAGUUCAAGAUCAAAUUAGGCGGUAAACGUAGAUAUGGUAGUAAAAACUCGUAUAGAAGUAUGUAUGUCAGUAUGAUAGUGAAAGAAAAAGAAAAAGGGAAGUAGUCCAGCGAAAUACGGAGGCAGUGAAAUUGUAUAAAAUCAAGAAAAUAUUUAAUUUAAUUUAUUAGGAUUAAUUUAAUAAAACAGAAUAAAUAAGUACGUAGUAAUUGGCAAUUUAACAUUUUUCCACAAUAAAAGUGCUGGAAGAUUCUAUGUGACUUUUAUAUUUUUAAUGUUCGAAAUUCUUCUGCAAAAAAGUGACUUAGAUAACUUAUUAUGCACAUUGAUUUCAAUAAUUUAACAUAAUGAAAUUAACAUAAUUGAUUCAGGAAACAUAAUACAGGUUAAACCUACUUAAUUUUUUUAAUAUUUUUUUUUUUCUAAAUCACUUACAUUUUUCACAAUUUGGUGACAUCUUUUUUUUACAUGCACCCGCGAUGAAAAAUGUUAAAUAAUAUUAUGUAAAUGGGUAACCGCGGAGACUAAAAAUUAUUUGUCAGUUUUUUUGAAAAACUAGUAAUAAAUACGUAUUUACCUCACUCUGUACCUUCUCGUGAAAAAUUAUACAAUAUUAUAAGGUCGCAUUAUAUUAUGUGCGGUGCAACGUUUGUAACUGUAUGCCUAUAAUACGCUGUUAUUAUAAUCGCGCGUAUUAAUCAAUUUGAUUUCUUUGAUGAUACGUACAGCGUAAAUAUCCGUUCCCCUUGAGAUUUUCAUAACAUUUUUAUUUAAUUACUGUAGUACCUAUAGUCGUGUUUUGGUUAGGUAUUUUAUUUUCUCUCUUAUAGCUAUAAAUACGGGCAAAUCCAUAGGCGAAAAACCGAGAAAAACUAAUUAUCGAUAAAUAAUGGAAUAAUACCGCACGUACCUACCAAGUAUUAUAAACGGAAGGUGGGUAACGUACUAAAUCAAUAAUUAAACAAAGUGAAUAUUUUUUUUUUUUACAUUCUGAGUGUAACGAAGAUGCUCUUGAUAAAUACUUACUCGUAUUAUAGUCUUACGAAAACGUGUAUGUGUGUUUUUUUCUUUUUUUGUUGAUUUCAAAGGAAAAAUUCCAAGACUAAGAGGUACGGAUUCGGAAGUGGUGGGAUAUUUAUUCCCUCUAAUAAACACCGACCUUACUCAAGUCGACCGAAUAGAUUUAAUUUUUUUUUAAACACGAUCAGUUGAAUGAAAUAGUAAUUAAAUCGAAUAUUUUUACGAAAAUCGAGAAUAUUGGUCUUGGCUGCACCUACAAAAAUUAUGACUUCGCUACGGGGUCAGGGGAAAAAAGCAAUAUAUUUAUUUUACAUAUCAUAAUAUAUAAGGUAUAUUAUAAUAUAAAAGGUAAUAUUAUUGGUUGGUACUGCAUAUUAUUUAGUACUGUAUAAUAGUUAUCUACACCAUAAUUUAAUACCAUUGAAUAAAUUGUAUAGGUAUAUUCAAUGAUAAUAUUUUAAACGUUUUCAUAAAAACAAUAUUGGAGCAAGGUAUCGAAAUCUGCAGUCCAUAAUCGAAUGUAACGUAAAUUACUACUAUAAUUGUAAUGUAAGUACAAAAUAUAUAAAAAUCAACUUAAAAUAAACACAUGGCUGUAGCAUAUGGUGGAAUUAUUUAUCUUAAAAAAUCAAAACCUGCAUUGUAUUAUUAUAGGUGUGUUAUAUAAUAAGUCAUAUGAAAUAAUAGUACAUUACAUCAUGCAUUGGUACAAUAUUACAAUUUUUUUACUAAAUACAAAAAAAAAAUUGCCGAAAAUUAUUUUUGUGAAAACGUUUAAAAUAUUAUCAUUGAAUAUAUAAUAUAGUCAAUGGUAUUAAAAUAUAGUGUAGGUAUCUAUAUAUUUAUUAUAUAGUACUAUAUAAUAUGUAAUACUUACCAAUAAUAUUAAUUUUAUAUUAUAAUAUAUAUAAUAAAUUGUAUUGCUUUUUUAUUCACUCGUUUUUUUGUUUCCUUAAACUCUUUCGCUACACAUCUUUCAAUAGUUGUAUGAUUUGUUUUUAGAAUCGAAUAGCAAAACAAUACCAUAAUCUAACUCUAUAGUUCGAUAAUAAUGGGUUAGAUUACGGUAACGAGAUAAUGGCACUAUAAUUUAUAUAGAAGAUAUUAUUCGAAACAAAUAAAAUUCGCAGAAAAUAAGUUUUAAAAGAUAGCUAAAUUUUUUUUUUUUUUUUAAAUUGUUAAUUUGUAAAUUGUGUAAGGGCACCCGGGUACAAUUAAUUAGAAAAUUAUGUUUGAAGUGGGUAUUUGUAUAUUUUAUCGUCUGUAAUUUAUUAAACUCCAUCCGCUACAGUAUUUUCAAUUUUUCGUUUCAUUAUAAAUUAAUUAUAAUACGAUUAUCUAUAAUAUUCUUAAUGUUGGCCGUUUUUUUUUUUUUGUUUUUUCGUUAAAUAAUAUUAUUAAAUAUAAACACUAAACAAUAAUAUUUUUGCAGUUGGAAUGCACUCGAAAACAAGUUGUUUUCAAAAUCGUUUGAAUUAUUGCUUUUCCAUCAUUUACAUAUUAUAUUAUAAUCAAUAUUCUUCUUUUUGCAUUUUUCGGCCGCUACAGGAUCAUCCAGUCAUGUACCCAACUCUCCAAUGAUAUCCGCUUUAAUUUCCAGCCUUAUCGUCAAUUUGAAAAUUCCACGUCUAUCCGUCACAAACGGGGUCUUCCGCGUGAGAGGACUAUUUUUCCUUUCGAGUUUAUCUUCCAUUGCUUUAUUAUAUUAUGCCUACAAGCGGUUUCUGAGUCAGAACUUUUAAAUUCACCAAGCGUACCAAGCUCACUGUAAUCGUUUACUCGAGAGUAGACGAUAUUCUCUGUUUCUAAAAAACUCCCUCUGGCUCGUUGUUUUUUUUCUUAUUUUCCAUACACCGAUCUCCUUCUGUUCUGGAUAAAAAUUUUUUGUUUUAAAUUCUGAUAAAUAAUUAUUACAAAGUAUAUACAUUAUACGAAAUAAUUUUUAUUGAUAUUCAAUUUUCGAUCAUAAUAUUAGUACAAAUAGGUUUUUAUUUUCAAAUUGAAGGCCGUGUUAGGUAUUUGAUUAACCUUAAGUCACGUCUCACACGUAUAUAAUAAUAUACUUAAUUAUUAGUUCCUUAAUCAAAGAAUAUACGGGAAAGUAUGUAAAUCCAAGUGAAAUUUAGUGUGAUUAAUACCUAUAUAUUACAUAGAUAUAUAAGUACAUUCGUGUAGUAUAGUAACAGUUCUCAGUCAAUUUUCGGAUCUUUGUGUGCACCGCGUCGUAUAGAAAGUGAAACGCACACACGUUAAUGAGUCUGCAAUGUUUAUGAUUUUUAUAUAUGAAUAAAAUAUUUGUUUAAAGAUUGUCCGAAAAUUACCGACAGACUAUACGGCGUCUAUUCGCGCGUAUAGAACAAUAACAAUUAUUUAGAAACACAAAAAAUACAACUUUUUUUAUUUUAUUCACAUAGUUACGAAGUGUAUGUAAUAUGUAAAAGGCAUAACUCAACUAGCAGCUCGUUUACAGCGGGACUGGAAGAAGAAGAAUGAAAAUGAGAUAUCUAAAAUACAUAUUUAGGUAUUUAGUGUACAAUAAUUCUAUUGCAAAGCGUUUUUGCUCGAAUUAGACCUUAGAACUUAUGUACCUUCUGCCUACCUAUCUACAGUCUACAUGGGUAUGACUUACUAGUAACUAUAUACUAUACAGUACUUGUUAGAGUUUUAUCUAAAGAUAUCUAAAGACCUAGAGUAUGUAGCUGAAAUAAAAAUAUAAUUUGUUAUUGCACAAACCGUAUAUACCUUAUAAUGUAAUAAUAUGCCCGUUGUUUCAAUUGAUAAAGUUUAAAAUUGCUUUUCUUUUUUUUUUUAGAUUCGUUAUGAAAAUGCUAAUGAUUCUACUAAGACAUGUGGUUUUUUCUGUCUGUAAACAACUUUUCCGCAAAAUAUCUUAAUACUGCAAUAUUCAACAUCAAUUCUAGUUUUUCCGGUAGCAAAAUAUGUUUUAUACAUUUUUUUGAAUUUCAACGGAAUUAUACGAGCUAUUGUAAAUAGCCAAAAGCUUGGUUUCGCGUUACGAGGUUUAGAUUUACAUUUAGAACACUAUCAUUCUUGCAGUAGAAUCACGUUUGGAUUUAGGUUAGGUAAGCAAUUGUUUCCCCGUCUCUCUACGAUAAGGACGUCCCCAACACUUUGAACGAUUCCAGAUUUGUUGGAUGACGUUCAGAUUAUUUAUUAAUAAGAUGAGUGGUUUUCUUAUCAUUCACUGCAUCGAAAUCGUAUAGUUAAUAUCCUGUAACGUCAAACGCGUACCGUUUCCAAAAACGUCGGUAAUUAGAGCGUAUAUGGAAUCAGAAACGCGUUGGUAUGGCGCGUACCGAAGUAGCAUCCAAUUUUCAAAACAUUCUGGCGUUUUUCGAGUUUUAGAUAUAUUUGAAAUUUAAGCGGUUUUUUUAUUAUUAUUAUUCGGUUUUACGCGAAUGAAUUUUGUAUACGUCAAGGGAAAAUUUGAUAUAAAGUUCAUCGCAAGUAUUAUACUUAGUAGAAAAAUAUAAAAAUAAUAUUAUGCCGCAUUUCGUUGCAUUUUUUUGAAAUCGUUUGACAUUAUAGACUGUAAUAGUGGUGUCAUAUAACAGUCAUAUUCAGUAACGAUAUGUUACGUCGAUAAACGAUCUAUAAAAACCCAUCAACAAUAAACGAAAAUCGCACCUUAAUAUUUAUAUAUAAAAAAAAAAAAAAAAAAUACCGUAACAAUCAUAAAAAAAUGAGUUACAUAAUAUAAUAAAUAAAUAUAGGUAUAGGUAGGUGCCUAAUUAAAUUUAGAGAAACUGACCAGAUCGAUUUCGUGUAACAAUAAAUGUUUUGUAAACAUUACAGCCUAUAGGUACAACUAUAUUAUAUAUCUAGUGGUUAUUUUGCUGACAAUAUAAUAUAAUAUAGUAUCGAUGUAUAAUAUAAUAAUGCUAUACUUAGUUUAGGCAUGUACUGCAGCGCCCGACACAAUAUAUUAUUACGAAUUAUGGUUCUAAUUCCUUUUUGACAAAAUAUGACGCGUAAAAAAAAAAAGAAUGCUUACGAGUACCUAUAUUGGUAUACAGAUAACAUAUUAACAGUUUUUAUACGUUGUAUACGAUAUUAAUACGGUAUGCGAAAGUCUUAAAACAUAUUAUGCAAUAGCCCACAAGUAAUAUAAAAACAGAACGGCCGAGGGUGUGCCACUGUUGUAGAUGGGAAGUUCAAAAGGUAUGAUUUACACAGUUAUAGUUAUUUAAUUUGUAUUAUUAUGCAACUAUUAACCGUGUAUGGCUCAUAAACCCCCCUCCCAUUUUGAACAGAGUAUUAUAAGUCAUAUUUUUUGUAUUCAGGGAUAAUUUAUUAACAAUAACUACUUUGGAAAAAUUAUUAAAUUACUAGAUACGCAUCAUUAAUAUUAUUAAUCGAAAAGAUAAGACACUAGCUUAGUGCCCACAAACCGGAACGAGAGACGAUCACCAAUCACAUAAAAACAUCUCGCAAUCAUUAUAUAAGAUAAAGUGUUGCGAACAACAUAAACGGAUAUUUUUGAAAAAAAAAAAUGUAGAUUCUGAGCGAAUAGUGGGGAUUGCAUUGGUUUUACUAUAAUGUGUGUUUAUUAGUUUUUUGUGUGUCCGUAAAAAAAUUUUUUUACAAAAAGUCUUACUCCAAUCCUCUUUUGUUGCAUUUCGGAUCUAGUUAGUGCAUUGAAGAGGUUAAUAUUUUGAUUUUCAAAAUGAUUUUCAUAAUAAUUGGAAAACCCGGAAAAUAACGGACAAAUAUGAUUAUUCUCAUUGAUAAGGGAAAAUUUUUUUUUUUGUUAUACUUAAAAAAAAUCGUGAACAUUUCGACCUUAGAAAAUGUUUUAUAAUAGUUACUAGUUAUCGAGAUACUAUCAAUGCAGAUUUUAUAUAAAUAGAAAACUUAAUUUUAUAAUAUUAUAACGCACUUUUGACCUCGAUCGUGAGAUAUUUCUGUACUAAUAUAUUAUUGAGUUUUACAUACCCAGUGAAAUUAAUUAUAAUUAUAAUUAAAAUGUUUCGUCUUUGACUUAAAACAAUGGUGUGUUAUUUUUUUGUGUGAGCACCAGCAAUUUUAUAUACUUACAACAACCAUAGUUCUUUUGAAUAAAUCUAUAGUAAAAUUGCUAUCAUUUAAUCAGUUACUAUGCAGUCUUACGCCUUUGACUACCCGCACUCCACAAUAAGCCACCCGUAAUACACAAUAUUGUUAACGUUACGCCAUUGAUGAAUCAAAUUAUCCUAGCUGUAGACAAAAAAAUUUAGAUGUGUUUAUGUUUUAUUCGUUUUAGUAAUAUGUAGCUACACAAUAUUUCAACAUAUUUAUUUUGGUUGUGAAAUAUACCAAUUAGUUAUAUAAACAACCUAUACUGUCAAUUAGGUGUUUACCUAUAUACUUAGGUAGUUGAUGUAUUUCGUUUUAUACUGCACAUUAAUAAUUAUUGCUUGUAGUUAUCUACAGAUACUAUGAACACACGCGCAAUAUUAUAAUGCUUAUUAUUACGAAAAGUGUGCCGAACGUUAUUUAUUUUUUUUUAUGUUGUCAAAUACGAAAAAGAAAUUGUACUUUUAUUAACUCUUUAUUAGAUUCUAUUAUUUUAAUAUAAACGUAUGUGAAAUAUUGAGAAAAAUAAUCUUUAACUUUCUGAAUUGUAAAAAGGUAAUAACUAACUGAAGGACUGAUUUUGCUGAUGUGUGUUGGAAGGGAAGAUAUACAGAGUAAUUACAUUUGUAAUUGUACGCAAAAAUAAAUCGUUGCUAAGCAAAGUAUUAUGAAUCAAAAUUUUGCCUUGUUGUUAGUUACCCAGAAAUCAACAAAAAUUAUACAAACAUUUGCUAGUUUUUCCUAUUUAUUAAGAAAACUGCAAUUAAAAUUUAAAAAUUAACCUCUUAAAUGGACCAACCAGUUCAAAAAUGCUAUAAGAAAAUUACUAUAAAGAGUUUGAUGGGAAAUCGGAAUCUAAAAUAUACCGUGUCAAAUAAUUUUAGGUUUCUGAAAUAUAAUUAUAAAUAUAUAUUUUUUUUUUCUAGGAUUUUCUUUGCUUUAUAAAGAUAAAAAAUUCAAACUUAUCCGCACGGUUCGGCCGAACGUAAUUCCCUAUAUCUGCGAGGUUAGUUCUUCUUCCGCAAUAGCUGACGAUAAUCUGCAUUCUUCGUCCAACAACGACGACGUUUUAUAUAGACAAAUUUUAGAAAAAAAAAAAAAGUAUAAUGACAUAAAAUUUCGACCUAUACUCGACUGCGAAACACUGCAACUAUUAUAUUAUUAUUAUCAUUUGAUGCCAUUCGCCUGCAGUUUGGAUUCAGCACACAUUCUUAUAUAUUAUUAUAUUCCCAUUCACCCGGUCCUCCUAUGACUUUCAUUCUUGCAGUAAACGCGGACGAGAAGAAAAAAACAAUAUCGCUACAACACACUUGAUGCGUGUUUGGUCUAAACUGCCACGGUAUGGAACCGUACCGAUAACAACCGGUUUUUCGGGGAGAACGAUUCGCGUUUCGACAGUUCGCGCGAACGAACUAAAAUGAAAAAUAUUGAGAUACUAGUCUACAAACGGUAGAUCCCGAUGAGAAAAGUUAAUUGUUGGUUGUUUUUUUGUUCUUUGUAAAUACCUAUAAUACCUAUGUAAACACAUAAUCCAAUAUUGUGGAAACGUUUCCCCGCCUUGAGUGUUUUCGGUCAAAUAUCGCUCGUAUGAUCUCAUUACUAUUAACAAUGGACACUCAGUUAUCAAAUAAACAUUGCCGAAAUCAUCGAUGAAUACAUGUUAUUAUUAUAAAGAGUACAAAAAUAACGCUCUGUAAAAAUUUCAACGAAAAUAUUUCGCACCGAUGAAUAUAUACACGAGGCGUUCGUUUGUAUAAAUAUUUACAGUCUGAGUAAACAACUGCAGCAGCGGACUGUGAUAUUGUUAUGACGAAACUACUGCAGUCUAUCGCAAGUUAUUUUUCUUCGUUCAUUUGUGAUUCGCUUACGACACGUUUUUAAAAGGUUUUAUAAUAAUGUGCCAUUUCGGACUUAUGGCCACGAACAUCCAUAUUAAUAAUAACGACGAUCCAUCAUCAUUCGUUUCGAAAAUGACUCUACUGACGUCCACGGUAAUUCACGCUAAAUAAUAAUAAUAAUAAUAAUAAUAAUUCGCAAUUAAACCGUUAAUAAUUAUAUUAAUUAUAAUCCACUAUCAAAUUACAGCUCAAAGUUCCAUCGCAAAUUUUUGGAGGAUUAGAAAUGAAAAACAAACAACCGAUAAAUCGUUGCAAAUGAAAGCCGAUCCGAUUAAACGAGAAUUAAAAAACUUUAAUUUGAAAUUAGUAUUAAUUUGCAAUAACUCUAAAAGCAAUAUUUCCGUUUUUUCUUUAGGUUUUUCUCAUUAUUAAAAAAGAACACCAAGGAAAAAAAAUAAACACCUCUCUGCACAUCAACUAUAAGGACAAAUAUUUCUUCCAGAAACCACCCUCGGAGUUGAUGAUCAGAGUAAGAAAAUAGCACGCAUAUCAUAUUAUAGUACUAUUAUAGUAAAGUCUUCCAUUGGAAAGGAGGUCUCUAUAAAAUUAUAUUGUAACUGUUUGGCUGUACACGAAUGAUUUCGAAUAAAAAAAAAAAUAUAUAUAUACGAUGAUAAUUUAUUACUUUCUAUAAUUACGUACAUAUUAAAUUUACUCGAUUAUUUUAAUUAUUUCGAAAAUAAUUAGGAUUUUAAUAAUAUACCUCAAUGGUGGCGUAGUGCGUGAGGAGGUGUUAUUAUAUUAUAAUAUAUAUUUAGAUUCUGAAUGAAGUUCAUUGAUUUGGUUAUUGGUUUUAACUAUGACGUUUAUUUUAUUUUUAUUUUUUUUGUUAACAACUUUUCUACCAAAACAUUUGUUCCAAUUAAAAACUUUAUAACAAAUAUAUUGUCAAAUUUGUAAUCUGGUCGAUACAUCAAGGAGCUCAUUUUUUGAUUUUGCUUGUAC